rnacentral:rRNA from 1 species
GUUCGUAGUGACCUGCGGAGGAUCAUUAUUGAAUGUUAAGAAGUUGUAGCUGACCUGUUAAAGGGUAUGUGCUCGCUUCUUUCAAUCUCUUACCACCUGUGCACCUUUUGUAGUCUUGGAUACAUUU